UACGGAGGGGGCUAGCGUUGUUCGGAAUUACUGGGCGUAAAGGGCGCGUAGGCGGCACUGUUAGUCAGGCGUGAAAGUCCUGGGCUCAACCUGGGAACUGCGCUUGAUACGGCAGAGCUAGAGGAUGGAAGAGGCUCGCGGAAUUCCCAGUGUAGAGGUGAAAUUCGUAGAUAUUGGGAAGAACACCGGUGGCGAAGGCGGCGAGCUGGUCCAUUACUGACGCUGAGGCGCGACAGCGUGGGGAGCAAACAGG
rnacentral:rRNA from 1 species